AUGUCUAGACAAAUACUGCAAUGC
rnacentral:siRNA from 1 species